CACGCCCUAAACGAUGCAUACUGGGAAUUCGGAGUAUCGACCCUCUGAGUUCCGAAGCUAACGCGUUAAGUAUGCCGCCUGGGUAGUACGGCCGCAAGGCUAAAACUCAAAGGAAUUGACGGGGACCCGCACAAGCGGUGGAACAUGUGGUUUAAUUCGAUGACAAGCGAAGAACCUUACCAGGGCUUGACAUCCUGCGAAUCCCGAUGAAAGUUGGGAGUGCCGUAAGGAGCGCAGUGACAGGUGU
rnacentral:rRNA from 1 species